rnacentral:rRNA from 1 species
UACGGGGGGGGCAAGCGUUGUUCGGAAUUACUGGGCGUAAAGGGCUCGUAGGCGGCCAACUAAGUCAGACGUGAAAUCCCUCGGCUUAACCGGGGAACUGCGUUUGAAACUACAAGGCUAGAGUGUGGCAGAGGGGGGUGGAAUUCCACGUGUAGCAGUGAAAUGCGUAGAGAUGUGGAGGAACACCGAUGGCGAAGGCAGCCCCCUGGGUUAACACUGACGCUCAGGCACGAAAGCGUGGGGAGCAAACAGG